rnacentral:tRNA from 1 species
GUUGGUUUGGCUCAGUGGUUAGAGUGUCAGCCCUUGGACUGGGGGUUGUGGGUUCGAUUCCAGUAACCAAUC